UGAUAUUUAUGAAAGUUUUAAUUUUGCAGACCUAAAAAUCAAUAGAACCUACCUCAACUCUUUCUUUCUCGUACCAUAACCAUAACCAUAACCAUAACCUCUCCUACCUCAGUCUCAGUUACUCAACUUUACUUCGGGAGGAGACGACUCGGGGUUGGUAUGCUCAUUACCAUAUGCGCUUCAAUCAAUCGUUACUUCACUACUAGCUACUCACAGUGAGACAAUGCUUCUUAUGUCAAGACUAGUCAGAUAUCGUCAAGUUGUUCAGAUCCCACAAAAGAGUAACUUUAUCAUACUUAAUGUUGUUAGAUCGUUUACUCAUAGUGAAGGUCCACAGUCUCAAACUAAAAUCAAAAUAAACAAAAUUGCUGCACUUAUUAAUGAGCAUCCCUUUCCUGAUCAGCCACUUCAACCUACCCUUCUGCAAGUUAUCCCUCCACCUUUAAUUUCCAACAUUUUAGUAGAGAAUGUUCUUGGUCGUCUUUUCGCUGCCCAUUCCAAUGGUCUUAAAGCCCUUGAGUUUUUUGAUUAUUCCCUUUGUCAUUCACAGUUUAGUCCAAGUACUGAUGCUUUUGAGAAGACACUACACAUCCUUGUUCGGAUGCGGUAUUUCGAUAGAGCUUGGGAAUUGAUGAAAAGAAUCAAAAAAGAAUACCCUUCCUUGCUUACUCUAAAGUCAAUGAGCAUCAUGAUCUCAAAGAUUGCCAAGUUCCAAUCCUAUGAAGAUACGCUUGCAGCAUUUGAAAAGAUGGAGAAUGAAAUUUUCGUUGGGAGGAAAUUUGGUACAGAGGAGUUCAAUGUACUUCUUCGAGCGUUUUGCACACAGAGGCAGAUGAAGGAGGCACGAUCAGUGUUCCUAAAGAUGCAUUCCAGGUUUGCCCCAGACAAAAAGAGUAUGAAUAUAUUGUUGUUGGGUUUUAAAGAAUCAGGAGAUACUACUGCUGUUGAAUUGUUCUAUCACGAGAUGAUUGCAAGAGGUUUUAAGCCAAAUGUUGUCACCUAUAAUAUUAGAAUUGAUGUUUACUGUAAAACAGGCUGCUUUGGUGAUGGUUUGAGACUUCUCGAAGAGAUGCAGAGGUCAAAUUUGUCUCCUACGUUAGGAACAAUAACUACUCUUAUUCACGGAGCAGGAAUUGCUCGAAAUCCAAUAAUGGCACGUAAAUUGUUUGAUGAACUUCCAGCGAGAAACUUAUUUCCUGAUUCUGGGGCUUAUAAUGCUUUAAUGAGUUCGCUUAUUAGGUGUAAAAAUGUACAGGCUGCAGCCACCUUAAUGGAUGAGAUGAAAGAGAAACAUAUCAUUCUUGAUUAUAUGACCUAUCACACCAUGUUCUUUGGCUUGAUUAAAAAAAAGGACUUCGAAGGUGUAUUUCAGCUAUAUGAAAAAAUGACUGAAAGAAAAUUUGUCCCAAAAACGCGUACUGUGGUUAUGUUAAUGAAGGUUUACUGUGAAAAUUGUCGAAUUGAUCUAGGCUUGCAUUUAUGGGGUUAUUUAGUGGAGAAUGGAUAUUGUCCUCAUGGCCAUGCACUGGAGCUUCUGCUGACAGGAUUAUGCUCCAGAGGGUUUGUCAACGACGCGUUUGAGUGCUCCAUACAAGUCCUAGAGAGAGGGAGGCACUUAAGUGAUGCAGCAUUUCAGAUGAUAGAGCGACUUCUUACGCAAAAGGGUGAGAUGGAUAAAAUCAGGAGGCUCACUGAGAUGAUGAAGAAAUUGCAUACUCAUUUGCCUCCAUUACAAGAUAAGACCAUAAUUGUUCCUGCCUAAUUACAGGUAAAACAGAAAAGAUAACAACUUUAGAAAGAUGAUUAAUGUGCUGGUGGGCAUUCACUGGACUUACCCACAUGAUACUUGAGGGAUAUUUUGUCUUUUCUCCAGAACUUUACAAGGAUAAGACUGCUUGUCACUUAGCUGAAGUUUGGAAAGAAUAUAGCAAAGGGGAUUCAAGAUAUGUAGCAAGAGCUUCUGAUAUAGUUGCUGUUGAAGGACUAACUGCAGUGCUUGAAGGUCCAGCUUGUCUUCUAGCUAUAUAUGCAAUAGCUACAAGAAAGCCAUAAAUUUACAUUCUUCAAUUUGCCAUUUCAUUUGGUCAACUCUAUGGAACAUUUGUAUACUUUAUAACUGCAUUUUUGGAUGGUGCCAACUUUGCCACAAGUCCAUUUUACUACUAUGCAUACUAUGUUGGUGUCAACUUCUCAUACCAACUCUCAUUUCCGUCCAAUGUUGGAAGAAGAUCUGUUCAGCUGUGGAGGUGGCUAGGCUCAACCUCAAUUAUCCCAAAAAAGGACCAAGACUCGUUGAAGAUGGUAACUUUAGUCAUUUUCACAACUUUUUUUGUAAUGAUAACUUAUGAUUUAUUUUGUGAGACUUUCUUUCUUGGGAUGAUUUAGUCACAAACACAAGGUGAUUACUUCAUUCUUAUGCCUUUCUUCGUGUAAUAAAUUUUGAUACGGGAAUUGGAGCCUCAGGGAUCUGGCUUCUUAGAAUUCGAGAAAUGGAAUCUUUUUAAGAAAAA